rnacentral:rRNA from 1 species
GUUUAACACAUGCAAGUCGAGGGGAAACGACAUCGAAAGCUCGCUUUUGAUGGGCGUCGACCGGCGCACGGGUGAGUAACGCGUAUCCAACCUGCCCACCACUUGGGGAUAACCUUGCGAAAGUAAGACUAAUACCCAAUGAUAUCUCUAGAAGACAUCUGAAGGAGAUUAAAGAUUUAUCGGUGAUGGAUGGGGAUGCGUCUGAUUAGCUUGUUGGCGGGGUAACGGCCCACCAAGGCGACGAUCAGUAGGGGUUCUGAGAGGAAGGUCCCCCACAUUGGAACUGAGACACGGUCCAAACUCCUACGGGAGGCAGCAGUGAGGAAUAUUGGUCAAUGGACGAGAGUCUGAACCAGCCAAGUAGCGUGCAGGAUGACGGCCCUAUGGGUUGUAAACUGCUUUUAUAAGGGAAUAAAGUGAGUCUCGUGAGACUUUUUGCAUGUACCUUAUGAAUAAGGACCGGCUAAUUCCGUGCCAGCAGCCGCGGUAAUACGGAAGGUCCGGGCGUUAUCCGGAUUUAUUGGGUUUAAAGGGAGCGUAGGCCGGAGAUUAAGCGUGUUGUGAAAUGUAGACGCUCAACGUCUGCACUGCAGCGCGAACUGGUUUCCUUGAGUACGCACAAAGUGGGCGGAAUUCGUGGUGUAGCGGUGAAAUGCUUAGAUAUCACGAAGAACUCCGAUUGCGAAGGCAGCUCACUGGAGCGCAACUGACGCUGAAGCUCGAAAGUGCGGGUAUCGAACAGGAUUAGAUACCCUGGUAGUCCGCACGGUAAACGAUGGAUGCCCGCUGUUGGUCUGAAU